rnacentral:rRNA from 1 species
CGGCGGACGGGUGAGUAAUGCCUAGGAAUCUGGCCUGGUAGUGGGGGACAACGUUUCGAAAGGAACGCUAAUACCGCAUACGUCCUACGGGAGAAAGUGGGGGAUCUUCGGACCUCACGCUAUCAGAUGAGCCUAGGUCGGAUUAGCUAGUUGGUGGGGUAACGGCUCACCAAGGCGACGAUCCGUAACUGGUCUGAGAGGAUGAUCAGUCACACUGGAACUGAGACACGGUCCAG